CAUUGAUUCAUGCUUCUGAAAAGCUUUUUCAUAAUUUCCGUUUUUCUUUCGUACCUCAGAUGGACUCCCGUCAUAGAAAAUAGGUAGAACAGUUUGUCCUGAUAGUUCAAUACAUUCAGAUAUUUUCAUCAACUACUGAAAGCACCGGGUGAAGAGACACUUUGGAUGCUACUACUAGCCAUUGAUAUUAUAAAAGCCAAAGCUAACUUGCCGAGAAUGUUGAUGUAUUUUACACUAUUGAUGUGAACCCGAAAGUCUGCAAUGCCAAUUAUUUAUGUUUUCCUUGGCAUUGUGGAAUUUGGGAUCACAUCGAAAAGAAGUCUUCGUUUAUAUGAAAUUGAUCCUAAAAACUUUUUUUUGUGUUAAUUCUAAAAACUUUUUAACACAGUCUUUAACUGGCCGUUUAUUGGAAAAAAACUAUGUCCCUCAUUGAUUAUCCAUCAGACCACCUUACCUUUUGUAUACACAUAUCGAACCCAAUAGAUCCGGGCAUGAAGAAGUGUAUUGUAAAAUAGUCUAAUUAACGUUUAUAAAAAGUAACAUUAUUCACCUUAUAAGCCGGUUCCUUGAAGAGAAGAAUGAGUUAGGCGCGGUAUACGUACAUAAUACCUUUCAUUUGAAAAAAAUCAAUUAUUGAUCAGGCGUUUACAAUAUAAUACGUGUUUCCAUGUCCUGGACCUUAUUAGUAAAAACAAAAAUAUCUUGGACCUGCUUUGUCUUUUUUCAUUUCAAAAACUAAAAUAGAAAUUCCAAUCACCUCGACAACAACAUCUCGCUUCUUCUCCUACCUAUUCUAAGCAGCAAUAGGAGCGUCAUUCUCAGCUACAUCACACUAAUUCUUCAAGUUGGCAGGAAACUUCUUUGUCCUUACAGCCUUAGCAAGAAGGCUAGUUAGGUUGGAUCUCUUGAGCUUGGUAGGCAUUUUUUAUGCUAAUUGGAAAAAUAAGAAAUGGGUUAGCUAUCAUUUCUAAAUGAUAACAAAAAAAAGAAACGGAAACUUGUGACUCUACAACACUUAC
rnacentral:lncRNA from 1 species